rnacentral:rRNA from 1 species
GACGAACGCUGGCGGCGUGCUUAACACAUGCAAGUCGAACGGAAAGGCCCUGCUUUUGUGGGGUGCUCGAGUGGCGAACGGGUGAGUAACACGUGAGUAACCUGCCCUUGACUUUGGGAUAACUUCAGGAAACUGGGGCUCAUACCGGAUAGGAGCUCCUGCUGCAUGGUGGGGGUUGGAAAGUUUCGGCGGUUGGGGAUGGACUCGCGGCUUAUCAGCUUGUUGGUGGGGUAGUGGCUUACCAAGGCUUUGACGGGUAGCCGGCCUGAGAGGGUGACCGGCCACAUUGGGACUGGGAUACGGCCCAGACUCCUACGGGAGGCAGCAGAGGAGAAUAGUGCACAAUGGGAGGAAGCCUGAUGCAGCAACGCCGCGUGCGGGAUGACGGGCUUCUGGUUGUAAACCGCUUUCGCCUGUGACGAAGCGUGAGUGACGGUAAUGGGUAAAGAAGCACCGGCUAACUACGUG